rnacentral:rRNA from 1 species
CCUACGGGAGGCAGCAGUGGGGAAUAUUGCAAAAUGGGGGGAACCCUGAUGCAGCAACGCCGCGUGGGUGAAGAAGUACUCCGGUAUGUAAAGCCCUGUCAGCAGGGAAGAAAAUGACGGUACCUGACCAAGAAGCCCCGGCUAACUACGUGCCAGCAGCCGCGGUAAUACGUAGGGGGCAAGCGUUAUCCGGAUUUACUGGGUGUAAAGGGAGCGUAGACGGCAGUGCAAGUCUGGAGUGAAAGGCGGGGGCUCAACCCCCGGACUGCUCUGGAAACUGUACGGCUGGAGUGCAGGAGAGGUAAGUGGAAUUCCUAGUGUAGCGGUGAAAUGCGUAGAUAUUAGGAGGAACACCAGUGGCGAAGGCGGCUUACUGGACUGUAACUGACGUUGAGGCUCGAAAGCGUGGGGAGCAAACAGGAUUAGAUACCCCUGUAGUC